GUGGAUUAAAGGUGGCUUUCGGGCUGUCGCAGUUGGAUGAGCCUGCGUUGGAUUAGCUAGUUGGUGGGGUAAUGGCCCACCAAGGCUACGAUCCAUAGCUGAUUUGAGAGGAUGAUCAGCCUCAUUGGGACUGAGACACGGCCCAAACUCCUACGGGAGGCAGCAGUGGGGAAUAUUGGACAAGGGGGGCUACCCUGAUCCAGCAAUGCCAUGUGUGUGAAGAAGGCCCUAGGGUUGU
rnacentral:rRNA from 1 species